rnacentral:lncRNA from 1 species
GUCCCCCUGGCCUCACAGUCCUGUGAGCUCACAGAGGCUCUUCCGGCCUGUUUCUGGCAUGGGCCUGGAAGGCGCAGCUGGAAUCAAGAGUGGACUGGGGAGAGGCAAGACUCAAGACUUUAGAUCCAAAAGCCUGCGGGCAGGCUGAGCGCAGAAGCAGGCCAGCUGCGAAUGGGGUAAUCUGUGGAGCUCCGGUGGAGCCAGAUUUCUGGCUGCGUUCUGUGUCCACUCCCCUGGGAGGGACCCUCUUGCUGGAUGUAGGAGUUAAGUGUGACGGUUAGACACUCCCCAGUGGCUGAAUAUCCAGUCUGUAGACAAAGCUUAAGAGUGUUCGGCCACCAGGCCUAUGUGCUGGGUUGACUCCAGCCAAUGAGCUGAUGAACCCCAGGUCCGGGAAUACUGGCUGCUCUCUGCCAUCUGCCCCGCUCCAUCAUCCUUGCAACUGGUGGGGCUCUGACAUCUGGCCCUGCUGGGUCCCUGCAUGCUGCCCUAAUGAGACCAGCAAUGAAGGCUCUCAUAGCCCAUCUUCCCAUCUCUGGAAUUUCCCACUUAUCAAAUGCACCGGAAGCCCACACCUGUGGCUCUGCAGCCCUGGGCCAACACCAUGAGGAUCUGGGUCCUGGACUGGCUGUUGGACAGCUCAGACGCAGAGGCCCAGAAUUGGCUGCUGGGGCAUCUCCCAUUCCCAGGAGAGUGGGUUGCUCUGGAGCAAGGCUGCCUGGCCUCCUCAGGGAGACCCCAGCCCCUGUCUCAGGAAUGCAACUUCCUCUGAAGAGCCCACUCCAUCGCACAGACUCCAGGCCCUCGCUCCCUGCCCAGAUGCUUCGCUGGCUGAGAUUGCCCGCGCCCUGCUUUCUGCACAUUGCACAGCGUUUCAGCUCUUUAGCCUGAAGGUUUGCGUUAUUUCUUGUUGGAAUAAAAUGCCAAACCAGAACUAAUGGUGGGACUCAGUGAGCUGUUUGGAAAUGCCUCUUUGAG